CAAUGUACCGGUUUCUGUACGAUCACCGACGUAAAGCAACGUCGAGCCUGGGCAGUACCUAGAUGAGUGACCGCUUGAGAAUACCAGGUGCUGUAA